GACGAACGCUGGCGGCGUGCUUAACACAUGCAAGUCGAGCGGAAAGGCCUCUUCGGGGGUACUCGAGCGGCGAACGGGUGAGUAACACGUGAGUAAUCUGCCCUUCACUCUGGGAUAGCCACCGGAAACGGUGAUUAAUACCGGAUACGACACGUCCAGGCAUCUGGUGCGUGUGGAAACUUUUUGGGUGGGGGAUGUGCUCGCGGCCUAUCAGCUUGUUGGUGGGGUAAUGGCCUACCAAGGCUUCGACGGGUAGCCGGCCUGAGAGGGUGACCGGCCACACUGGGACUGAGACACGGCCCAGACUCCUACGGGAGGCAGCAGUGGGGAAUAUUGGACAAUGGGCGGAAGCCUGAUCCAGCAACGCCGCGUGAGGGAUGACGGCCUUCGGGUUGUAAACCUCUUUCAGCACCGACGAAGCGAUCCUUUGGGGGAGUGACGGUAGGUGCAGAAGAAGGACCGGCCAACUACGUGCCAGCAGCCGCCGUAAUAC
rnacentral:rRNA from 1 species